GAUGAACGCUAGCGGCAGGCCUAACACAUGCAAGUCGAGGGAGAGGUUAUCUUCGGGUAACCAAAACCGGCGCACGGGUGCGUAACGCGUAUACAAUCUGCCUUUCACAUAGGGAUAGCCCGAAGAAAUUUGGAUUAAUACCUAAUGGUAUAUAGGAGCGGCAUCGUUUUUAUAUUAAAGCUACGGUGGUGAAAGAUGAGUAUGCGUUCUAUUAGCUAGUUGGAGAGGUAACGGCUCCCCAAGGCGACGAUAGAUAGGGGUUCUGAGAGGGAUGUCCCCCACACUGGUACUGAGAUACGGACCAGACUCCUACGGGAGGCAGCAGUGAGGAAUAUUGGACAAUGGUCGGAAGACUGAUCCAGCCAUGCCGCGUGCAGGAUGAAGGUCCUAUGGAUUGUAAACUGCUUUUGUAAGGGAAGAAUAAGGAGUACGUGUACUUUGAUGACGGUACCUUACGAAUAAGCAUCGGCUAACUCCGUGCCAGCAGCCGCGGUAAUACGGAGGAUGCGAGCGUUAUCCGGAAUCAUUGGGUUUAAAGGGUCCGUAGGCGGGCUGAUAAGUCAGAGGUGAAAGCGCUUAGCUCAACUAAGCAACUGCCUUUGAAACUGUCAGUCUUGAAUGAUUGUGAAGUAGUUGGAAUGUGUAGUGUAGCGGUGAAAUGCUUAGAUAUUACACAGAACACCGAUAGCGAAGGCAUAUUACUAACAAUUUAUUGACGCUGAUGGACGAAAGCGUGGGGAGCGAAAAGGG
rnacentral:rRNA from 1 species